rnacentral:rRNA from 1 species
AUUGAACGCUGGCGGCAUGCUUUACACAUGCAAGUCGAACGGCAGCACGGGAGCAAUCCUGGUGGCGAGUGGCGAACGGGUGAGUAAUAUAUCGGAACGUGCCCAGUCGUGGGGGAUAACGGAGCGAAAGCAGUGCUAAUACCGCAUACGAUCUAUGGAUGAAAGCGGGGGAUCGCAAGACCUCGCGCGAUUGGGGCGGCCGAUAUCAGAUUAGCUAGUUGGUGAGGUAAAGGCUCACCAAGGCGACGAUCUGUAGCUGGUCUGAGAGGACGACCAGCCACACUGGAACUGAGACACGGUCCAGACUCCUACGGGAGGCAGCAGUGGGGAAUUUUGGACAAUGGGCGAAAGCCUGAUCCAGCAAUGCCGCGUGCAGGAUGAAGGCCUUCGGGUUGUAAACUGCUUUUGUACGGAACGAGACGGUGAGCUCUAAUACAGUUUGCUAAUGACGGUACCGUAAGAAUAAGCACCGGCUAACUACGUGCCAGCAGCCGCCGUAACAC